rnacentral:rRNA from 1 species
GACGAACGCUGGCGGCGUGCUUAACACAUGCAAGUCGAACGGAAAGGCCCUGCUUUUGUGGGGUGCUCGAGUGGCGAACGGGUGAGUAACACGUGAGUAACCUGCCCUUGACUUUGGGAUAACUUCAGGAAAAUGGGGCUAAUACCGGAUAGGAGCUCCUGCUGCAUGGUGGGGGUUGGAAAGUUUCGGCGGUUGGGGAUGGACUCGCGGCUUAUCAGCUUGUUGGUGGGGUAGUGGCUUACCAAGGCUUUGACGGGUAGCCGGCCUGAGAGGGUGACCGGGCACAUUGGGACUGAGAUACGGCCCAGACUCCUACGGGAGGCAGCAGUGGGGAAUAUUGCACAAUGGGCGGAAGCCUGAUGCAGCAACGCCGCGUGCGGGAUGACGGCCUUCGGGUUGUAAACCGCUUUCGCCUGUGACGAAGCGUGAGUGACGGUAAUGGGUAAAGAAGCACCGGCUAACUACGUG